UGUAUAUCAUGGCUCAUCUAAAAGUAAACCUCAAAGUGUAUAAAAUGCUGCUCAUCUGGAUAAUCCAAUCUGCAAGGUAACAAUGACGAAAACAAAUCUGUCUCAUGAACAUCUGGCUAAAGGAUCCACCCACGCUCCUCGGUGAAACCUGAUGCGAUCCAUCUCUAUCUCAACAAAUCCAUGUAGGGAGGCCCUGAUACAAUCGAUCCUCAGAAACUCUGGGCUAGUACUCAAUCUAAAAC
rnacentral:lncRNA from 1 species